rnacentral:rRNA from 1 species
CCUACGGGGGGCAGCAGUGGGGAAUAUUGGGCAAUGGGCGCAAGCCUGACCCAGCAACGCCGCGUGAAGGAAGAAGGCUUUCGGGUUGUAAACUUCUUUUAAGAGGGAAGAGUAGAAGACGGUACCUCUUGAAUAAGCCACGGCUAACUACGUGCCAGCAGCCGCGGUAAUACGUAGGUGGCAAGCGUUGUCCGGAUUUACUGGGUGUAAAGGGCGUGUAGCCGGGCCGGCAAGUCAGAUGUCAAAUCCGGGGGCUCAACCCCCGAACUGCAUUUGAAACUGUCGUUCUUGAGUACUGGAGAGGU